GAUGAACGCUGGCGGCGUGCCUAAUACAUGCAAGUCGAGCGAACAGACGAGGAGCUUGCUCCUCUGACGUUAGCGGCGGACGGGUGAGUAACACGUGGAUAACCUACCUAUAAGACUGGGAUAACUUCGGGAAACCGGAGCUAAUACCGGAUAAUAUAUUGAACCGCAUGGUUCAAUAGUGAAAGACGGUUUUGCUGUCACUUAUAGAUGGAUCCGCGCCGCAUUAGCUAGUUGGUAAGGUAACGGCUUACCAAGGCAACGAUGCGUAGCCGACCUGAGAGGGUGAUCGGCCACACUGGAACUGAGACACGGUCCAGACUCCUACGGGAGGCAGCAGUAGGGAAUCUUCCGCAAUGGGCGAAGGCCUGACGGAGCAACGCCGCGUGAGUGAUGAAGGUCUUCGGAUCGUAAAACUCUGUUAUUAGGGAAGAACAAAUGUGUAAGUAACUAUGCACGUCUUGACGGUACCUAAUCAGAAAGCCACGGCUAGCUACGUG
rnacentral:rRNA from 1 species